rnacentral:rRNA from 1 species
CUGGACUCAGAACGAACGCUGGUGGCGCGUCUAUACAUGCAAGUCGAGCGGUGCAGCAAUGCAUAGCGGCGAACGGGUGAGUAACGCGUAAGCAAUCUGCCCCCCUGUUCGGGAAUAGCCGUGCCAACGCGCGGGUAAUACCGGAUAUCGUGGCGCUCCUCAUGGAGCGUUGACAAAAGAUUUAUCGACAGGGGAUGAGCUUGCGUCCGAUUAGCUAGUUGGCGGGGCAACGGCCCACCAAGGCGACGAUCGGUAGCCGGCCUGAGAGGGUGAUCGGCCACAUUGGGACUGAGAUACGGCCCAGACUCCUACGGGAGGCAGCAGUAGGGAAUAUUGCACAAUGGGGGAAACCCUGAUGCAGCAACGCCACGUGUGGGAAGAAGCAUUUCGGUGUGUAAACCACUGUCGUGAGGGAAUAAGGCUGAUUUUCGGGUCAGUUGAAUGUACCUCGAGAGGAAGCACCGGCAAACUUCGUGCCAGCAGCCGC